rnacentral:tRNA from 1 species
CGGGCUGUGGCGCAGCUUGGUAGCGCACUUGGUUUGGGACCAAGGGGUCGUCGGUUCGAAUCCGACCAGCCCGA